rnacentral:rRNA from 1 species
AUUGAACGCUGGCGGCAUGCCUUACACAUGCAAGUCGAACGGCAGCACGGGUGCUUGCACCUGGUGGCGAGUGGCAGACGGGUGCGUAAUACAUCGGAACAUGUCCUGUAGUGGGGGGUAGCCCGGCGAAAGCCGGAUUAAUACCGCAUACGAUCCACGACUUAAAGCGGGGGACCUUCGGGCCUCGCGCUAUCGGGUUGGCCGAUGGCUGAUUAGCUAGUUGGUGGGGUAAAGGCCUACCAAGGCGACGAUCAGUAGCUGGUCUGAGAGGACGACCAGCCACACUGGGACUGAGACACGGCCCAGACUCCUACGGGAGGCAGCAGUGGGGAAUUUUGGACAAUGGGCGAAAGCCUGAUCCAGCAAUGCCGCGUGUGUGAAGAAGGCCUUCGGGUUGUAAAGCACUUUUGUCCGGAAAGAAAACCUUGGCUCUAAUACAGUCGGGGGAUGACGGUACCGGAAGAAUAAGCACCGGCUAACUACGUG